rnacentral:misc_RNA from 1 species
CAAAGCCAGAUCUGCUGGAUUCAUCCCCGGGUGUGAUGCCUUGGUGGGAUUUAUGUCUUCAUUCAACUUAAAUGGCAGAUGGACAAAGAACUUCGGAUUUCUCCAUAAGGGGUGAUAGUGAUGGAACUAUGCAUGAGAAUCUGCACAAGAUUUUAGGAGAAGUUCUUUGUAUUCUUGAAACUCCAUUAAGGCAUCAGCUAAGGAAUACAGUUUAGGAACAGAAGUGAAAGGUUGGAAGUGUCUUUUGUAUUUCAAUCCCUUUGG